AUUUCGGAGAAGGAGCCUGAGAGACGGCUACUACAUCUAAGGAAGGCAGCAGGCGCGCAAAUUUCCCAUUGCUUAUCAUAUAAUGUAAGCGAGGAAGUGACGAUCAAUAACAAUGUGUGACUCUUUAUGGGUUAUGCAAUUGGAAUGACUACAAUUUAAAGAGUUUAAGAAGGAUCAAUUGGAGGGCAAGUCUGGUGCCAGCAGCCGCGGUAAUUCCAGCUCCAAUAGGAUAUAUCAAAGUUGUUGCAGUUAAAAAGCUCGUAGUUGAAUUUCUGGAAGGUAGAAGUGUUUUUCUUAGAGAAGCAAUUUUUUAUGAAAGACGCCGCUUUCCAUUUUGUGGAUUUCUGUUUUGUAUGAGAUAGUUUACUCUAUUUUUAUAUAAAAUACCACUCCGUCACUGAGAGCAAAUUGGAGUGCUCAAAGCAGGCUUUAUUAGCUUUGAACAUUUUAGCUUGGAAUGACAAGAUAUGACUUUUGUUUUAUUUUGUUGGUUAUGAAAUAAAAGUAAUGAUUAACAGGAACAGUUGCGGGGGUACUCGUAUUGAAAGGUCAGAGGUGAAAUUCUUGGAUUCUUUCAAGACGAACGACUGCGAAAGCAUUUACCAAGGAUGUUUUCAUUAAUCAAGAACGAAAGCUCGGGGAUCGAAGAUGAUUAGAUACCAUCGUAGUCCGACGCCAUAAACGAUGCCGACUCGGGAUUAUUUUGUUUGUUUACAUUAAAAAAGAACACAAAGUAGCACCGUAUGAGAAAUCAAAGUCUUUGGGUUCCGGGGGGAGUAUGGUCGCAAGGCUGAAACUUAAAGGAAUUGACGGAAGGGCACACCAGAGGUGGAGCCUGCGGUUUAAUUUGACUCAACACGGGGAAACUUACCAGGUCCAGACAUGAUGAGGAUUGACAGUUUGAAAGCACUUUCUUGAUUUCAUGGGUGGUGGUGCAUGGCCGUUCUUAGUUGGUGGAGUGAUUUGUCUGGUUGAUUCCGAUAACGAACGAGACGGGGUGAAUUUACUAGUUUGUUAUAUAAUUUACGUUAUAUAAGACUUCUUUAUUCGACAACUUGGUUUUACCAAGAGGAAGCGCCCCGCAAUAACAGGUCUGUGAUGCCCUUAGAUGUUCUGGGCUACACGCGCGCUACAAUGACGAAUUCAACGAGUUUAAAAUUUAUUCCUUAUCCGGAAGGAUGUGGGUAAUCUUUUCAAUAUUCGUCGUGAUGGGGCUAGAUUUUUGCAAUUAUUAAUCUUCAACGAGGAAUCUCUAGUAUGUGCAAGUCAUCAGCUUGCGCAGAAUGCGUCCCUGCCCUUUGUACACACCGCCCGUCGCACCUACCGAUUGGACGAUCCGGCAAGAUGUUUGGAGUUGUUUUGAUUGUAGAGUAAUUUAUGAUGAAAAUGACAAAGCUCUUCAAACCUUAUCGUCUAGAGGAAGGUGAAGUCGUAACAAGGUC
rnacentral:rRNA from 1 species